GCUGUGUGGCAUAGUGGUAAGGAGGGGGGCUCAUAACCGAAAGGUUGCUGGUUCAAUUCCCCACCAGCG